UACGGAGGAUCCGAGCGUUAUCCGGAUUUAUUGGGUUUAAAGGGUGCGCAGGCGGGGGAUUAAGUCGGCGGUGAAAUUUUGCAGCUCAACUGUAAAAGUGCCUUCGAAACUGGUUUCCUUGAGUGUAGAUGAAGUAGGCGGAAUUUGUGGUGUAGCGGUGAAAUGCAUAGAUAUCACGAGGAACUCCGAUUGCGCAGGCAGCUUACUAAACUACUACUGACGCUCAGGCACGAAGGCGUGGGGAUCAAACAGGAUUAGAUACUCCGGUAGU
rnacentral:rRNA from 1 species